GUACAUAGAUCUCAGUCCCAAUUUCUCCAGUGUACUUGUGGGCAUUGGUCAUAUGAUUUCUGUGACCCCAGGAUUCGUGUCCGCUGCAGUUGUCGGUGCUUUGACAUACAAAAAUCAAUCAUCUGAACAGUGGAAGAAAUUUUUCCUUAUAUCAGCAAGCAUCCUUUUAGCUCCUGGCUUGCUACACCUCCUGACAUCAUCAUCCAAAGUACAAGAGUGGAACUUCCCAAAGUCUAUGGCAAAAGAAAUGAAAGAUAGUAUCUCUGAAAAUGAUGUGGAAG